GAAUCUGCCUGGUAGUGGGGGAUAACGUUCGGAAACGAACGCUAAUACCGCAUACGUCCUACGGGAGAAAGCAGGGGACCUUCGGGCCUUGCGCUAUCAGAUGAGCCUAGGUCGGAUUAGCUAGUUGGUGAGGUAAUGGCUCACCAAGGCGACGAUCCGUAACUGGUCUGAGAGGAUGAUCAGUCACACUGGAACUGAGACACGGUCCAGACUCCUACGGGAGGCAGCAGUGGGGAAUAUUGGACAAUGGGCGAAAGCCUGAUCCAGCCAUGCCGCGUGUGUGAAGAAGGUCUUCGGAUUGUAAAGCACUUUAAGUUGGGAGGAAGGGCAGUUACCUAAUACGUAAUUGUUUUGACGUUACCGACAGAAUAAGCACCGGCUAACUCUGUGCCAGCAGCCGCGGUAAUACAGAGGGUGCAAGCGUUAAUCGGAAUUACUGGGCGUAAAGCGCGCGUAGGUGGUUCGUUAAGUUGGAUGUGAAAUCCCCGGGCUCAACCUGGGAACUGCAUUCAAAACUGUCGAGCUAGAGUAUGGUAGAGGGUGGUGGAAUUUCCUGUGUAGCGGUGAAAUGCGUAGAUAUAGGAAGGAACACCAGUGGCGAAGGCGACCACCUGGACUGAUACUGACACUGAGGUGCGAAAGCGU
rnacentral:rRNA from 1 species